rnacentral:rRNA from 1 species
AUAUCAAUAAGCGGAGGAAAAGAAACCAACAGGGAUUGCCCCAGUAACGGCGAGUGAAGCGGCAGCAGCUCAAAUUUUAAAUCUGGCAUCCGCCCGAGUUGUAAUUUGAAGAGGAUGCUUUGGGGUCGUCUCCGGUCUAAGUCCCUUGGAACGGGGCGCCGCAGAGGGUGAGAGUCCCGUACGCGGCCGGACGCCUUCCCCGGUAAAGCUCCCUCGACGAGUCGAGUUGUUUGGGAAUGCAGCUCUAAAUGGGAGGUAAAUUCCUUCUAAGGCUAAAUACCUGCCAGAGACCGAUAGCGCACAAGUAGAGUGAUCGAAAGAUGAAAAGCACUUUGGAAAGAGAGUUAAAAAGUAC